UGGCUCAGGAUGAACGCUAGCUACAGGCUUAACGACAUAGCAAGUCGAGGGGCAGCAUGAUCGAAGCUUGCUUUGAUUGAUGGCGACCGGCGCACGGGUGAGUAACGCGUAUCCAACCUUCCCUAUAGUAGAGAAUAGCCCGGCGAAAGUCGGAUUAAUGCUCUAUGUUGUAUUUAGAGGACAUCUGAAGAAUACCAAAGGUUUACCGCUAUAGGAUGGGGAUGCGUCUGAUUAGGUAGUAGGCGGGUAACGGCCCACCUAGCCGACGAUCAGUAGGGGUUCUGAGAGGAAGGUCCCCCACAUUGGAACUGAGACACGGUCCAAACUCCUACGGGAGGCAGCAGUGAGGAAUAUUGGUCAAUGGACGGAAGUCUGAACCAGCCAAGUAAGCGUGCAGGAUGACGGCCCUAUGGGUUGUAAACUGCUUUUAUAUAGGGAUAAAGUCGGGGACGUGUCCCCGUUUGUAGGUACUAUAUGAAUAAGGACCGGCUAAUUCCGUGCCAGCCGCCGC
rnacentral:rRNA from 1 species